UACGUAGGGUGCAAGCGUUAAUCGGAAUUACUGGGCGUAAAGCGUGCGCAGGCGGUUAUGUAAGACAGUUGUAAAAUCCCCGGGCUCAACCUGGGAAUUGCGAUGGAGACUGCAAGGCUAGAAUCUGGCAGAGGGGGGUAGAAUUCCACGUGUAGCAGUGAAAUGCGUAGAGAUGUGGAGGAACACCGGAUGGCGCAAGGCAG
rnacentral:rRNA from 1 species